GUGUCUUUAUGUAUCGUGGCUGUUUGGGGAGCAGUUGGUCGAUUGCUGACGAUCGAUGCAGCACGUUUCUCAACUUACUGCUAUUCUUUCUGUCUUAGCAGUGGACUUUUUAAAAUGCAUUUAAUUUUUAAUAGCUUUUCAUUUAAUAAACUUUAAUAAGUAACUACAAACAAUGAUCAUGUUAAAUGUUUUGACCUUUGACCUCACCCUGGGUCACAGUUACUGUAUUUCUUCUCUAUUACAAUAUAAUAUAACAGAAAGAUCAACUUUAACAAUAAACAACAUGGUUAAAAUAUUAAAAAAAGUAAAAUAAACAGAAGUUACUUCAAAAUAAAAUAAGAAACUACUACAGUUUGUUCACAAAAAAAAACAUAAAAAUACAAAAAAUCUAAUGAAAGCAUGUUUAAAAAUAGAACUACAGUAAAGACAAAAUGGAAUUCAUGGUAACGUACAAUGCACAUAAAAUACCAUAUUUUCAGGCAUUUUAUCAAAACCAAUCAAAAGUCAUACAACCAGUAAAGUUCCCUGUUGACGUUAAACUAACCAGACUCCCCACAAUGCCCAGUUUCCUCUACAGCUACAUCAGUAGAUGUUGUAGCAGUGAGGAGGAGCCACGCUGACGUGGAGCCCACAGCUCCAGCUGACUGACUGUGUGUGUUUGCAUAUGUGUCCUGUUAAGAGACCAGUGUUGAUCAGUGUGUGUCCAGGUCUUUCAGCGGCAGCACCAUGAUGAUGUCUCUGACUCUACUGCUGGCCACCCUGGGGCUCCUUGUUCAGGGUUCAUCAGGUCAAAUCACUGUGACUCAGACUCCUGGAGCGUUGUCUGUUACUGCUGAACAGACUGUUACUAUUAAGUGUAAAACCAGUUCAAGUGUUAGUGACUACCUUCACUGGUACCUUCAGAAACCUGGAGAAGCUCCUAAACUUCUUGUUAGAUACUCUACAACCCGUCAGUCUGGAGUCUCUGAUCGUUUCAGUGGAAGUGGAUCUGGUACUGACUUCACUCUGACCAUUAACAGAGUUCAGGGUGAAGAUGCAGGAGUUUAUUACUGUCAGCAGGGUACCAGUGGGUCACACAGUGAAACAACGUCGUACAAAAACCUCCUCAGCUGAAGAGGAACUGAUCUGAACUAACAGCUGCAUAAAAACACAUUAAAAUUUGACUGACACUAAAAGGUUUUUUAGGUAAUAUUAUUUCCAAUUGUCAUUAUGAUUAUAACAGAGAUUAGUUUACAGUUGUAGGAUAGUGACAGAUUUUGUGACAGAAAUUGUGGAGAUAAAUGAGAUAAAUGUCACCCUGGACAGGUCACCAGUUCAUCGCAGGGCAACACCCAGACAGACAACCAUUCACACACACACUCACACCUACGGGUAAUGGAGAGAAGCCAAUCAACCUAAUGCACGUCUUUGGACUGUGGGAGGAAGACGGAGAACCCAUAGAGAACCCACGCAAGCACAUCUCUCAUACAGCUGGAUCCAAUUUAAAGAUGGCAUCUGACGUGGGUCUGGUGAGUA